GACGAACGCUGGCGGCGUGCUUAACACAUGCAAGUCGAACGGUGAAGGGACCGGUUUUUGCUGGUUCUGGAUGAGUGGCGAACGGGUGAGUAACACGUGAGUAACCUGCCCCCUUCUUCUGGAUAACCGCAUGAAAGUGUGGCUAAUACGGGAUAUUCUGCGCCCGCUGCAUGGUGGGUGUGGGAAAGAUAUUGUUUCGGUGGGGGAUGGGCUCGCGUCCUAUCAGCUUGUUGGUGUGGUGAUGGCCUACCAAGGCGGUGACGGGUAGCCGGCCUGCGCGGGUGGACGGGCGCACGGGGACGGUGACGCGGCCCAGACUCCUGCGGGAGGCAGCAGUGGGGAAUAUGGCACAGUGGGCGCAAGCCUGAUGCAGCGACGCCGCGUGAGGGAUGGAGGCCUUCGGGUUGUAAACCUCUUUCGCCAGUGAAGCAGGCCUGUCCCUUUUGUGGGUGGGUUGACGGUAGCUGGAUAAGAAGCGCCGGCUAACUACGUG
rnacentral:rRNA from 1 species